rnacentral:rRNA from 1 species
AUGAAAACUCCAAUUGAGCUUCUCUUAGGUGAAACUCCUGACUAUACCUUUUUUAAGGUGUUCGGGUGUGCCUGCUGGCCUCAUCUUCAUCCUUAUAAUGAUCGCAAACUUGAGUUUCGCUCCAAAAAAUGUGUGUUCUUAGGGUAUAGUUCUCUCCAUAAAGGCUACAGGUGUCUCCAUGUCCCAACCAAUCGAGUCUACAUGUCUCGGGAUGUUGUUUUUGAUGAGACCGUCUUCCCCUUUUUUGCCAUGCCUCAGUCAUCCACCACAACACCUUCUAUGCAUUCAUCUCCUCUUAUGCCUAGCCAAUUUGAAGAUGUUGCAUAUUCGCCUGUGUUGUUACCUAAUCAUGGUGCAGGAAUUGGACGUGGAGCUCGCCUGGAACUCCUCCCUGACGGACCCGCUACGUCACCUGUGGUGCACGUCGAUCGGCCGGUUUACAUGCGGCAGGCACCUGGAUUUGUUGAUCACACUCAGCCUCAUCAUCUCUGUCAUCUGACGAAGGCCAUAUAUGGAUUGAAGCAGGCUCCCCGUGCCUGGCAUGCUCGCCUGGCUUCAGCUCUACGCACUCAUGGGUUCAUUCCUUCGACGGCUGAUACUUCACUGUUCUUGUUUCAGCGACCGAGUGUGACCAUGUACCUCCUUGUGUAUGUGGAUGAUAUUGUCCUGGUGAGCUCAUCUCCGACGGCUGCUGAUGCUCUUGUGACUGCACUUGGUCGUGAUUUUGCACUUAAGGAUUUGGGACAGCUUCAUUUCUUCCUGGGUAUUGAGGUCGCUCAUCAGUCUCGUGGUAGUUUGGCUCUCACCCAGAAGAAGUACUCUCUUGAUCUCUUGCGCCGUGCUGGUAUGCUCAAGUGA